GAGUUUGAUCCUGGCUCAGAUUGAACGCUGGCGGCAUGCUUUACACAUGCAAGUCGAACGGUAACAGGUCUUCGGACGCUGACGAGUGGCGAACGGGUGAGUAACACAUCGGAACGUGCCUAGUAUCGGGGGAUAACUACUCGAAAGAGUAGCUAAUACCGCAUGAGAUCUAAGGAUGAAAGCAGGGGACCUUCGGGCCUUGCGCUACUAGAGCGGCUGAUGGCAGAUUAGGUAGUUGGUGGGAUAAAAGCUUACCAAGCCGACGAUCUGUAGCUGGUCUGAGAGGACGACCAGCCACACUGGGACUGAGACACGGCCCAGACUCCUACGGGAGGCAGCAGUGGGGAAUUUUGGACAAUGGGCGAAAGCCUGAUCCAGCAAUGCCGCGUGUAGGAUGAAGGCCCUCGGGUUGUAAACUACUUUUGUACGGAACGAAAAGACUUUCUCUAAUAAAGAGGGUCCAUGACGGUACCGUAAGAAUAAGCACCGGCUAACUACGUG
rnacentral:rRNA from 1 species